AUUGAACGCUGGCGGAAUGCUUUGCACAUGCAAGUCGAACGGCAGCACGGGUGCUUGCACCUGGUGGCGAGUGGCGAACGGGUGAGUAAUACAUCGGAACGUACCCAGUUAUGGGGGAUAACUAACCGAAAGGUUAGCUAAUACCGCAUACGCCCGGAGGGGGAAAGCGGGGGACCGUAAGGCCUCGCGUAAUUGGAGCGGCCGAUGUCUGAUUAGCUAGUUGGUGAGGUAAAGGCUCACCAAGGCGACGAUCAGUAGCAGGUCUGAGAGGAUGAUCUGCCACUGGAACUGAGACACGGUCCAGACUCCUACGGGAGGCAGCAGUGGGGAAUUUUGGACAAUGGGCGAAAGCCUGAUCCAGCCAUUCCGCGUGAGUGAAGAAGGCCUUCGGGUUGUAAAGCUCUUUCGGCAGGGAAGAAACGCUCUGGGAUAAUACUCCGGGGUAAUGACGGUACCUGAAGAAGAAGCACCGGCUAACUACGUGCCAGCCGCCGCGGUAA
rnacentral:rRNA from 1 species